rnacentral:lncRNA from 1 species
CUGACGUAGAAUACGAAGCAGUACCAUAAGCUACGAAGAGCUCAAACCUAGUUAAGAGAAUAACCCAAAGAAUGAAUAAGAAGGCUGCUUACAAAAGACACCCAACACUAUAUGGACAACUCUGCAAUGAAAAAGAUAGAAUACAACCCAGAAAUAAGUCAGAUGUUUACAAAAUACCAAUAAAGAACAAUACCACCGAAGAAGAAGAGAUCUAUGUAGGUGUAACUAGCAGAGUGCUCAAUCAACGGCUAAGUGAACACAAGAAAGACUUGCAGAAAGGAAAAACCAGCACAGCUCUAGCCCUAGCAGCUUACAAGAAUGACAUAAUAGUCAAUUAGCAAGCAGCGAGAGUAGUUAAACCACUAGAAAAAGAAAGGUAUGCUCUCCUCGCUGAAGCUAUGGAGAUCUAUACUAGUGAAAAGAAAGAAAAACUCCUUAAUAAUCGCCCAUCCCAGGAACUACCAUACCCAUGGAAAUACCUCUUGAAUAGAGAACUGUCUUAGGAAGAAAAUAGUAUAAUGCAUGAUUAUAA